GUGUUCGAGUAUUUGUUUUUGGAGGCUGUUGCCAAUGUGAAGGCUUGGAAACAUCAUCUUUCAUACAGAGAAGAAGAGACGUGAGGAAAAGCAAGUUGUUGUAGCAGGAGGUCCUUUUUUCCCUUCAUAAUGACACAGCUGGACAGGACUUCCUGCUGACCUGCGCUGCAAAGCAUUCACUUCUGAUUGAAACCGUUACACUGAAAUAGCACUGAGAUGACACAGAGACGGAGCCUCUGGAUCGUCUGGCCAUCGUUCAUCCCUGUUGCACACGUGAGAGAAGACGGAAAGGUCCCUCAAGGGAGGCUUCCCUGGACUGGCAUCUAACAACGGGAACGGUGGAAAACAAGAAGAGAACUUGUCAUUUGCUCAAGAUAACUUAUGAAGCCCAUGGCAGUGGCAGUAACCCGGGUCUCCUCAGUCUCCAGCCACCACUGUGUGUUGAAGAUCUUUCUUCCUCCUUUUCUAAAUUGUUUCAUAACUGUCUGCACCAGCUUUCAGAUUCAAAAACUUCCAGUGAUGUUCCCACGGAGAAAGGCGGCUGGGUUUUUUUCCACUUUUUGUGUUUGAUGUUUCAAAAUAUUGGGCACUCCCUAGCCCAUAUUCAUACCCUGCUCUUGCUAAUGAAUAUCAGGAUAGACGAGAUGCAGGGCAGCUAAUUUAAACCAGUGUAAAAUGUAUGAGAAUUAGUCUUUUGCUACUAGGCCGGGACAGCCCAGCAAGUUUUCUCAGUACCAAUGCACAGUUUUAAUUUGAUUUCAUCCACCAAUGCUAAUAAAAGAACACUCCAAGGCGAGAAUUUAAAAUGAUUAAUUACAAUACUUUAAAAGAUGAAAAAGAAUCUGUGUGUGUCAGUCAUCCUCACGGGGCAAAGAGUAAUGAAAAUGAAAUGCACACAGGAAUGAGUUUUCUAUUGUCAAUGAUAAAAGUGAUAAUCGCCCCAAGUCAAAGCAAAAUGACAGAUGAAAGAAACCUAUAGAACAUCGCCUAAGGGAGCUCCUGAGGCCGGCGCUCAGUACCACAUAUACACAUGCUAGACUGAUAUUUAAUGAAGCUCUGGUUGACUCUGUAAUGAAUGUUGAAGGCUCUCUGGAGCAUCAAACAUCAUUUAACACUGCU